CGACCCUAGGUCAGGAAGGAUUAACCGUUGAGUUUAAGCAUAUCAAUAAGAGGAGGAAAAGAAACAUACAAGGAUUUUCUUAGUAACAGCGAGCAAACCGGGAACAACCUAGCCUUAGAAUCGGGUGGCUUCGUUAUCUAAAUUAUAGUCAUAAGAAUCAUCCUUAGCGGCGGACCAGGCCUAAGUCCCCUAGAAGGGGGCGCUAGAGAGGGUGACAUCCCUGUUGUGCCCAAGCCUGUCACAACACGAGACGCUGUCUACGAGUCAGGUUGUUCAGAAAUGCAGCCCAAAUUGGGUGGUGAAUUCCAUCUAAGACUAAAUACGGGAGAGAGAUCAAUAUCGAAUAAGUUCUGCGAGGGAAAGAUGAAAAGGACUUUGAAAAGAGAGUUAAAAAGUGCUUGAAAUUAUCGGGAGAAAAGAGGAUGGUUGCUGGUGAUGCACCUCGAUCAAAUAUGGAAUGAAGACGAGCUAGUCUGUCGAUCUACUUGAGGCGUGGAUCAGCAUGGAUUGGUGGGCAGACCAGGCUCUCGAUACGCUCGUGGAAUAUCGCCUCCUCGAUUGUGGCAGGGAGAGCGUGCCUUUGGAGUGAUUCGGUAUCUAUGUGCUCUGGACGCGGGCCUGUGGGCUCCCUAUUUGACCCUUCUUGAAACACAAAUCAAGGAGUCUAACAUAUGUGCGAGUCAAUGAGUGAGUAAACCCAUAAGGUGUAAGAAAGCUAAUUGGUGGGAUCCCCCUUGAGGGGUGCACCGCCGACCGAUCUUGAUCUUUUGAGAAGGGUUCGAGUGUGAUCAUACCUAUUGAGACACGAAAUAUAGUGAUCUAUGCCUGAGCAGGGCGAAGCCAUAGAAACUCUGGUGGAGACCCGUGAUACUGAUGUGUAAAUCGUUCAUCUAACUUGGGUGUAGGGGAUAAAUACCAAUCAAACCAUCUAGUAUUAGGUUUCCUCCAAGGUUUCCCUCAGGAUAGUUGGAGCUUCUGUACAAGUUCUAUCUGGUAAAGCCAAUGAUUAGGGGCCUCGGGGGUGCAACGCCCUCAACCUAUUCUCAAACUUUUAAUAGGUAAGAUGGCACGACUGCUUUGUUGAGCCACACCACAGAAUCAAGAGCUCCAAGUAGGCCAUUUUUAGUAAGCAGAACUGACUAUACGAGAUGAACUGGAAUUCGGGUUACAGUGCCAAACUGUUCACUAACCUAGAUCUCACAAAGGGUGUUGGUCGAUUAAGACAGCUGGAAAUGUGUAACAACUUACCUACCAAAUCAACUAGCCCAAAAAAUGGAUGGCACUUAAGCGCACGACCUACACCUGGCCGUCAGGGCAAGUGCAAGGCCCCAAUGAGUAGGAGGAAGCGGUGGUCUCUACAAAACCUUGGGCGUGAGCCUCUGUGGAGCUGUUGUCGGUGCAGAUCUUAGUGGUAGUAGCAAAUAUUUAAAUUAGAACUUUGAAGGCCUAAUAAAAGAAAGAUUCCAUGUGAACGACACUUGCACAUGGGUUAGUCGAUCCUAAAGGUCGGGGGUUCCCCGAUAGAUAAUGCAUUUCUCGCGUACUUCAAAAGAGAAUCGGGUUAAAAUUCCUUAAUUAGGAUAUGGCGGUCAACGACAAUGUUAGAAAGUUUUGAGAUAUCGGCAGGAGCCUCAGAAAGAGUUACCUUUUCUGCUUAAUAGCCUGGCCAUCCUAUAAUUGGCUCAGUCGGAGGUAGGGUCCAGCAGUUGGAAGAGCACUGCACGUUGCGUGGUGUCUGAUGCACUCCCAGUGGCACUUGAAAACUAGAGGAUCGAAUGCCGUCCAUGCCUGGUUGUACUCAUAACCGCAUCAGGUCUCCAUUAUGAACAUCCUCUAAUCGAUGGAACAAUGUAGACAAGUGAAGUUGGUAAAAUGGAUCUGUAACUUCGGAAAAAGGAUUGGCUUUGAAGUCCGGGAAUGGGGGUCCCAGCCUCUAACUCAUUGGUUGUCUAUGGACUGCUCGAGAUGCUCUCAUGGCGAGAGCAGGUCACCACAGCCAGUCGGGGGAUGGACUGAGAACAGUUCCUUUGGGGGCCUUCCCCGCGCAUCAAACAACCAACUCUUAACUGGUACGGUCAUAGGGAAUCUGACUGUUUAUUUAAAACAAAGCAUUGCGAUGGACCCAAUGGAUGUUCACACAAUAUGAUUUUAUCCCAAUGCUCUGAAUGUCAAACUGAAGAAAUUCAACCAAGCGUGGGUAAACAGAGUAACUAUGACUCUCUUAAGGUAUCCAAAUGCCUUGUCAUCUAAUUAGUGAUGCGCAUGAAUGGAUUAAUAAGAUUUCCACUGUCCCUAUCUAUUAUCCAUAAAAUCACCGUUAAAGGAGCUGACUUGGCAGAAAUCAACGGGGAAAGAAAACCCUGUUAAGCUUGACUCUAGUCCGACUUUGUGAAAUGACUUGAGAGGUGUAGUAUAAGUGGGAGUCGAAAGGCAAAAUUUAAAUACCACUAUUUUAAAGUUAUUUUACUUAUUUCGUGAAUCAGAAGUGGGGCAUUGCCCCUCUUUUUGGACCCAAGGAUCACUCAGCGGGAGGAUCCAAGCAGAAGACAUUGUCAGGUGAGGAGUUUUGCUGGGGUGGCACAUCUAUUAAAAGAUAACCUAGGUAUCCUAAGAUGAGCUCAACGAGAACAAAAAUCUCAUCUGGAACCAAAGGGUAAAAGCUCAUUUGAUUCUGAUUUCCAGUAAUAAUACGAACCAUUAAAGCAUAGCCUAACGAGAUGUUAGACCUUUGAAAUUCAAAGCUAGAGGUGUCAGAAAAGUUACCUCAGGGAUAAAUAGCUUUUGGCAGCCAAGAAUUCAUAGCGACGUUGCUUUUUGAUCCUUUGAUGUCGGCUUUUCCUAUUAUUAUAAAGAAGAAGUCACCAAGUGUUGGGUUGUUCACCCACCAAUAGGGAAUGUAAGCUGGAUUUAGACCAUCGUGAGAUAGGUUAGUUUUACCCUAUUGAUGACAGUGUCACAACAGUAAUUCAACCUAGUAUGAGAGGAUUCGUUGAUUCAUAUAAUUGGUCAUCACGCUUAGUUGAAAAGCCAGUGGUGUGAAGCUACCACAUGCUGGAUUAUAAUUAAACGCCUCUAAUUCAGAAUCAGGUCUAAAAGCAAUGCAUGCGCCUAUCGUCCGCUUGCUGUCCCAUACUAGGGGCUUCGUCCCCCAAUGACAUAUGUCAUUGGCAAAGCCAUCAUGGUUAAAGGGCCGCGAUAGCUGCGUUGUAGUAUAAUUUUCAUCGGCCGGUGGGUAGAAUCCUUUGUAGAUGACUUAAAUACGCGAUGGGCCAUUGUAAAUGGCAGAGUGGCCUUGCUUCCAUGAUCUACUAAGAUUCAACGCUUUGUCUCUUCGGUUCAU
rfam:Capsicum annuum cultivar Zunla-1 chromosome 6, whole genome shotgun sequence